AGAGUUUGAUCAUGGCUCAGAUUGAACGCUGGCGGCAGGCUUAACACAUGCAAGUCAAGCGGAGAUGAGGUGCUUGCACCUUAUCUUAGCGGCGGACGGGUGAGUAAUGCUUAGGAAUCUGCCUAUUAGUGGGGGACAACAUUCCGAAAGGAAUGCUAAUACCGCAUACGUCCUACGGGAGAAAGCAGGGGAUCUUCGGACCUUGCGCUAAUAGAUGAGCCUAAGUCGGAUUAGCUAGUUGGUGGGGUAAAGGCCUACCAAGGCGACGAUCUGUAGCGGGUCUGAGAGGAUGAUCCGCCACACUGGGACUGAGACACGGCCCAGACUCCUACGGGAGGCAGCAGUGGGGAAUAUUGGACAAUGGGGGGAACCCUGAUCCAGCCAUGCCGCGUGUGUGAAGAAGGCCUUAUGGUUGUAAAGCACUUUAAGCGAGGAGGAGGCUACUGAGACUAAUACUCUUGGAUAGUGGACGUUACUCGCAGAAUAAGCACCGGCUAACUCUGUGCCAGCAGCCGCGGUAAUACAGAGGGUGCGAGCGUUAAUCGGAUUUACUGGGCGUAAAGCGUGCGUAGGCGGCUUUUUAAGUCGGAUGUGAAAUCCCCGAGCUUAACUUGGGAAUUGCAUUCGAUACUGGGAAGCUAGAGUAUGGGAGAGGAUGGUAGAAUUCCAGGUGUAGCGGUGAAAUGCGUAGAGAUCUGGAGGAAUACCGAUGGCGAAGGCAGCCAUCUGGCCUAAUACUGACGCUGAGGUACGAAAGCAUGGGGAGCAAACAGGAUUAGAUACCCCGGUAGUCCAA
rnacentral:rRNA from 1 species